GAGGAAAAGAAACCAACAGGGAUUGCCUCAGUAACGGCGAGCGAAGCGGCAAAAGCUCAAAUUUGAAAUCUGGCUCCUUUGGAGUCCGAGUUGUAAUUUGAAGAAGGCAUCUUUGGUAGUGGCUCUUGCAUAUGUUCCUUGGAAUAGGACGUCAUAGAGGGUGAGAACCCCGUAUAUGGCGAGAUGCUCCACUGCUAUGUAAAGGGCUUUCUAAGAGUCGAGUUGUUUGGGAAUGCAGCUCUAAGUGGGUGGUAAAUUCCAUCUAAGGCUAAAUAUAGGCGAGAGACCGAUAGCGAACAAGUACAGUGAUGGAAAGAUGAAAAGAACUUUGAAAAGAGAGUGAAAAAGUACGUGAAAUUGCUGAAAGGGAAGGGCUUGACAUCAGACUCGGUUUGUAAUGAUCAACUGUCUCUUGGGACUGUGCACUCGUUACUUACUGGGCCAACAUCAGUUUUGGCGGUAGGAUAAUAACAGUUGAACGUGACUUUGCUUCGGUGAAGUGUUAUAGCUUCUGUUGAUACUACCAGCUGGGACUGAGGACCGCGCUUUAUGCUAGGAUGUUGGCGUAAUGAUGUUAAGCCACCCGUCUU
rnacentral:rRNA from 1 species